rnacentral:rRNA from 1 species
GACGAACGCUGGCGGCGUGCCUAAUACAUGCAAGUCGAACGCACUCUCGUUUAGAUUGAAGGAGCUUGCUCCUGAUUGAUAAACAUUUGAGUGAGUGGCGGACGGGUGAGUAACACGUGGGUAACCUGCCCUAAAGUGGGGGAUAACAUUUGGAAACAGAAUGCUAAUACCGCAUAAAACCUAAACACCGCAUGGUGUAGGGUUGAAAGAUGGUUUCGGCUAUCACUUUAGGAUGGACCCGCGGUGCAUUAGUUAGUUGGUGAGGUAAAGGCUCACCAAGACCGUGAUGCAUAGCCGACCUGAGAGGGUAAUCGGCCACACUGGGACUGAGACACGGCCCAGACUCUACGGGAGGCAGCAGUAGGGAAUCUUCCAC